rnacentral:rRNA from 1 species
CACGUAGGGCGCAAGCGUUGUCCGGAAUUAUUGGGCGUAAAGAGCUCGUAGGCGGUCUGUUGCGUCCGCUGUGAAAACUCGGGGGCUUAACCCCGAGCCUGCAGUGGAUACGGGCAGACUAGAGGUAGGUAGGGGAGAAUGGAAUUCCGGGUGUAGCGGUGGAAUGGCGUAGAGAUCCGGAGGAAGACCGGUGGCGAAGGCGGCCUGCUGGGCGAGUUACUGACACUGAGGCGCGACAGCGUGGGGAGCAA